CCUAGAGGACGCCCCGCCGAGAGCAGCUGCCACCUCCACGCAGGCCUGCUCACCAGCCGUGACUCAUGGGGAAAAGGGAUCCUCAGCUUUUUCAAUGGUGUAAAAGCUUGCCUGCACCCACUCUUUGGGCCACGCACAGUUUUGUUCCAGGGGACCCGGCGCACCGUGCGCACGGCCCUCGGGUCGGCUCGUGUGCGUCGGUGGCUGUGGAAGGAUCGGUCGUGGGCCCCUCCGACACCCGUUUCUGGCCCAGGUAGGACGUGGGCGCUGCUGCAACGACACGGAGGGGUUUUGGGGGGGGGGGGGAACGGGGCAGAGGGCCGAGCGCGAGGCCGCCCCCCGGAGGCUUCUCUUUUCUGUGCUUGGCGGAACUUGCUAAGUGAUGUCACGUGUUCUCACGUCGUCGUCACCCAGGUGACAUCCCAGGGCGCACCGGGCACUCUAGGUUCCAGGUGGGCGCCAGUCAUCUGUCUCUACUUUCAAGACUUCUUUCCCCAAAACACGUCGCUCGCACGAGCGACUCCCUGCUGUCCCCUCUGUCUCCCCGUCUCUUGGGAGCCGCCAGUCUGUUUUAUGCCUCUGGUCUGCCCGCAUGCAGGGCACCUUCUGUGUCUGGCUCCCCAGACCUCGCAUGGUGCCCGGGGCUCCCCGCGGAAGGGCCGUGUGAGCCCGCGUCCCCGCCUCCCGGCUCGAGUCUUCAGCCUUCGCGGGUCAGACGCAGGGGUGGCGCUGCUGGGCCGCGGGGGGAGUCUGUGUUUGCUGAGGAGCCGCCCCCCUUUCCCAGGACGGCUGCGCCGCCUUUGCGUCCCCCCCCCGUAGGACCAGGGUUCCCGUUUCUCCAGAGACUCGCUGCCAUUUGAUGUUCCCCAUUUUUUACGUUAAAGCCGUGCUAGCGGAGGUGAAGUAUCCGCGUUUCCCUCAGGAUCGUUGAUGUCCAGCUUCUUUUCAUUCGUUUGAUUGUGUAUCUUGGGGAAAAUGUCUGUUCUAGUCCUUGGCACAAUUUGUUUUGUUUUUGAGAGUGAAUGCACGUGAGCAGGGGACAGUAGAGGGAGAGAGAGAACCUUAAGCAGGCUCCACGCUCAACACAGACCCCCAACUCGGGGCUCGAUCCCACACGCUGCAAGAUCGUGAUCCGAGCCAAAAUCGAGAGUCAAUGCUCAACCACUGACUGAGCCGCCCAGGAGCCCCCACAGUUAAAUGUACAUCACACAAUUAACCAUUUUAGCCAUUUUUGUGCACUCUUCAGUGACAGUAAGUAUAUGACAUGGAGCCCCCCAUCUCCCGAACUGUUCGUUACCCCAAACGGAAUGUGUACCCACUGAAGACUCUUCCCCUCUCCUCCCUCCCCCUUUGGUAGCCUCUCUUUCACACACUACCUCCAGGGGCCUCGUGUGAGUGGCUCACACACUAUGUUUGUCCAUUGUUGUCUGCCUGUUCACGUAGUGGGUCUCCAAGGUUCACCCAGAGCAGGUGUCAGGACUGCAUUUGCUCAUUUUUAAACUGACUGUUCUUUUUGUGAAGUUGUACGAACGUGUAAAUAUGAUAUGCAGAUAUUUUCUUCCAUUCUGUAGGUUGUCACAUUCUUGACGAUAAUCUUUGAUGUAGAAAUGUUUUGAUUCUGGAGGCGUCUAGGUGACUCACUUGGUUAAACGUCUGACUCUUGGUUUCAGCUCAGAUCAUGACCUCCUGGUGCAGGAGUUCAAGCCCCGCAUGGAAUCAUCAGUGCUUGGGAUUCUCUCCCCCCACACUGCCCCUCCCCUUCUCGUUCUCUCUGUCUCUCAAAAUAAAUAAACUUAAAAAAAUUUUUUUAAGUUUUAAUGUUUUAUGAAAAUUGAGGUUAAAAUUUUUUUCUUUUGUUGCUCACACUUCUGGUGUCAACCUUUAGAAUCUGUUGCCAAAUCUGAGGUCAUGAGUUUAUCCCUGUGUUUUCUCUUCUAAGGGUCUCACAGUUUUAGCUCUGUCGGUCGGGUCACUGGUCUGUUUGAAGUGAUGUUUGUGUGUGAAACGGGGUGAGGCUCCAGCGUCAUCCAUUCGUCCAGGACGGGGUUCCUCUCCUCGAAUGUUCUCGGAGCCCGUGCUGCAAGUGCACUGGCCACAGACGCGCGGGCAGAUUUCUGGACUCUGUUCUGUUCCGUGUCUACACCCAAAUCUCCUG
rnacentral:lncRNA from 1 species